rnacentral:rRNA from 1 species
AAAUUGAAGAGUUUGAUCAUGGCUCAGAUUGAACGCUGGCGGCAGGCCUAACACAUGCAAGUCGAACGGUAACAGGAAGCAGCUUGCUGCUUCGCUGACGAGUGGCGGACGGGUGAGUAAUGUCUGGGAAACUGCCUGAUGGAGGGGGAUAACUACUGGAAACGGUAGCUAAUACCGCAUAACGUCGCAAGACCAAAGAGGGGGACCUUCGGGCCUCUUGCCAUCGGAUGUGCCCAGAUGGGAUUAGCUAGUAGGUGGGGUAACGGCUCACCUAGGCGACGAUCCCUAGCUGGUCUGAGAGGAUGACCAGCCACACUGGAACUGAGACACGGUCCAGACUCCUACGGGAGGCAGCAGUGGGGAAUAUUGCACAAUGGGCGCAAGCCUGAUGCAGCCAUGCCGCGUGUAUGAAGAAGGCCUUCGGGUUGUAAAGUACUUUCAGCGGGGAGGAAGGGAGUAAAGUUAAUACCUUUACUCAUUGACGUUACCCGCAGAAGAAGCACCGGCUAACUCCGUGCCAGCAGCCGCGGUAAUAC